rnacentral:lncRNA from 12 species
GGCUGAGCAGCUCUUCCACGUUCCACAAACUCUCACCUGGCCCAGGGGUGCCCCAGGAUGGUUCCAGUUCUCAUCACGUGCUUUAGGGCUGCAGUUCGUACCCUGAGUGCCUCAUGCAUGGAUAAGUGCAGGAUAAAGGUCAUGUGAAAGAGCACUCCUGGCAGAGGGAAGUUUAUCAUUGCACUGGACUUGGAUUUCAGUUGUCUGUCAUGUUUAUCCCUUAGAUUGGAUGAAAUGAACUCAUGACAACCCCUCAGAAGGCUGUUUGGAAAAGAGAAGCAUUUUCAGUGAAGCUACAACCAGGAAAUCACCACUGGCCAGGUUUUCCUGUCUGGGUAUCGCUGUUACCUGAGACACUGGACUGGAUUUACUGA